UUGAGUUGAGGAGGAUUUUUUUUUUUAUUUUAACAAUAGCCACAUUUGUUGAACAGGACUUGUUGUUCUUCAUUUUGUUUUAGUAGUGGGGAUGGUCCUUGUAUUUAGACGUUAUAUGGCCUGGGUUACCCAGCUCACAACAGAAACACCUGCACCAAAUUAAUUUGUUGUAGCAUAUUAAUUAUCUCAUAGCUUCUAUUUAGGCUGCAGCUGUUGCUAUUAUGUUAAUAAUAAUUUUUAUCACCACUGUAUACAACAGGUUAUGGGAAGAAUAGAAAUAUCUCUUUGGGGGGGGAGGUCCCCCCUUGUCAUUUCCAUGUUUCGAUGUCAGAAGGGAAGACUGUAAGAAAAUCAGGCAAAUUGAGCCCCUAAAGCGCACUGUAAUUUUCUAUUUCUGAUCGGAUUUGUGAGAGAAUGGCUGAGUGAAGUUAGCAGAGCGUCAUCCCCCCACACAAAGAUGGCGCGAGCAGAAUUUGUGAGAGCGGAAAGGGGUGUGGAAGGAAGGACAGGCAAGUGGGGACGGAACACUGCAGUGCUGGGUGGUGAGUGUUUGCGAGGGGGCGGGGGGUGGGGGUGGGAUGCUGCAGUCUCCAUGAAAUAAUAAGGUGGGGGGGGAGAGAAGCAAGGCAAAGAGUGGGUUUCUCAUUGUCUGUAAAAUAUAAACACAGAUGAGUUCUGUCUUUGGUUGGUUCAUGCCUUUCAUUCAGCACAGCAGGGAUGUUCUUAAGAAGUUGCCCUCUGAGAAAUUUCACUAAAUGGGAACCGUGGACCCUGCAUGAUGAGAUUAUAAUCACAGCAGCCACUCCUUUUACAUAAUUUUUUGUUUAAGACCCAGGAAGACCCCCCUUUUUUUAAAUAUAUAUAAAGCAAUAGACAUGUAUAUGUCGAUAAACUGAGGGUUCCCGUCACCCCCACCUCAGACUGGUGCAAGUUGAACAAAAAGCGGGGUGAUACCCCCUUUCUAUGAAUCUCAGUGGGUUCGAAAACAAUAUGAAAAUUUUCAGCUGACGAGAACAUGUCUGCUGCCUGCAGUGUCUGCAAUAGCUCACCAUGUUGUCUACUAGCCGAAAGAUCAAAAAUUAUCGAUUUCAUGGCGCUGUGUGCUCUGGAAAAGAAAGGCUACUUUAACAUUUGCAUUGUUUAAAAGACAACAUUUAAAAGAAAAGACUCGCACCCCCUACCCCCACCCCAAACUCUUUGGGGUGUGAAAGUGACUUGUCUUCAUCUCCCUCAUGAUUUGCUAUAAUUCUAUUAUUUUUAGCAGCUGGAGUCCAGAAAUGAUUUUUUUUUUUCCCCGACGAAUUUAGGAUUUUGCCGCAGUGUUCAUCUGCAGUCCCAGAAUCCUCCGCCGUUAAAACACGUCUUUAGAAAGUAAUCCAAGGAAGGCCUGAAGAACACGCAACUUUGAGCAUGGAGGACGGUGCCAGCGUAACUAAAGGACCAGGCCACGGCCCAUCACCUCCGGCUACCGCUACCUUCACGGUCCCUCCUUCGCUCCGGAGCUGUACAUAGGCUGCGCGAGCUUUCCACAGUGGCUCUCUGCGGAACCUGCCCAGUGGGUUACUAGACGGCUUCUGUGUGGGAGAAUAAACCACAUGUAGUCUGACAAGAGGUAUUUACAACUGCUUAGCCUGUUCAACUGGAAAUCAACAAAAAGAUGACAUACCCCUGACUCGGUGUUUUACAAAUCAAAAGUCUGGAUCCAUAAACAGCCCACUUGAGGAACAUAGAGCCAAGAGCCGAUUGUGAUGUCUUUUUUGCCCUGGUGUUUCCACGUUAUCAUAAAGAAAUUGUUUUUUAACAGGUC